rnacentral:tRNA from 1 species
AAAGGGAGACCUAAUUCAGGUAGGAGACGAAAAAAAAGUAGUCCCUACCAAGAAUCAAUCCCAAAAGGUCGGAGCGAGGCGAAAUUGGCUUUCAAACUAGGUUCUGGGUUCAAACAAGACCUGAAUCAGGAACAAGGGCAAUUAGCUCAGGUGGUUAGAGCGCACCCCUGAUAAGGGUGAGGUCCCUGGUUCGAGUCCAGGAUGGCCCACCUGCACAGGUGGCAAAAACAAAGAAGCUCCGAAUCAGCACCUUAUCUUACUUAUAUAAUAAGAGAGAAUGCUGGCUCUGAGUUCAGAGUCCAGAGGAACCUUGAAAACUGCAUAGAGCUAGGUGAAAAAGCCAAAAAAGAAGACCGCAAG